rnacentral:rRNA from 1 species
UACGUAGGGGGCGAGCGUUGUCCGAAGUUACUGGGCGUAAAGCGCGCGUAGGCGGUUUCUUAAGUCUGGGGUGAAAGGUUCAGCGCUCAACGCGAACAGUGCCUUGGAUACUGGGAGACUUGAGUCUGGGAGGGGGCAGUGGAAUUCCUGGUGUAGCGGUGAAAUGCGCAGAUAUCAGGAGGAACACCGGUGGCGAAGGCGGGUCUCUGGGCAGUAGCUGACACUGAGGCGCGACAGCGUGGGGAGCAAACAGG